UAUCUCUUUUCCUUUUCCCCCCUCUAUUUCUCCAUCUCCCCCACCCUCUGCAACUCGCAUUUGUUAUUCUUUUGUCUUGAGACUCCCAAGCGAUUCUGGGUAGGCUUCAAAAGCUAAAACCAGUUUUAGCAAAGCUAUCAAUUUUUUUGUGAAGAACUUCGAACCCACAUCCACAGCUCUGCUCAAAUCCCCGAACUUUGCACUACACGGUGCCCCAAUCCCUAAAAUUUUUGUCUCCCAUCCACCGGAUCCCAUUUCAAUGUAGUAGUAGAUGCAUUCCGCAGGAUCCCCAAGGCCACUUGGAAUGCGAAAGAAAGGUUAUGGAUUUUUCCAGCAUCUUACAUUGUCGUUGGUGGAGAAACAACUAAAUAUCUGGUGCUAAAGUUCAGGUGAUAACUUGUGUCCUUUCCAUAAUUUUUACUGCGUCUAAGAAUUCCUUUGAAUUCAGUUAUUGCCCACGAGCUUGGCCAAGAUUUAGCAUUUCCUAUUGAAUUAAUUUAUACUGUGUGUGUGCCAUUUUUCUAAUGUACAAUCUUUUUAAAUUGCUUUUCAUCAUUUUUGUUUUCUGAGAAAACUUUAUGGGUAGAGAACUUAGAUCCCUUGGUUCACUGUGCCAUUGCUGCGGCUCUUGCUGUUCCUGAUCUCAAGACCAAUAUGACAGAAUACCCACUAGUAUGGAAUCAAAGCUCUUGCCAUUUCAGCGAGAAGGUGUUAGGUUUAUAUUGCAACAUGGAGGGUGUGCUCUUCUUGCUGAUGAGAUGGGACUAGGAAAGACUUUAAAGGCUAUUGCUGUAGCUUCAUGCAUUCAUGAUUCGUGGCCUGUUCUUAUAAUGACACCAUCUUCAUUGCGUUUACAAUGGGCUUCUGUAAGUGCUUUAUCAAUUUUUAUUUUAGUUAUUAUGAAGGUAGAUUUAACCUAAUGUGCAUGUAUUUAAUCGUUCUUGUAGAUGAUUGAACAAUGGCUUGACAUUCCUCCAUAUGAUAUUCUUGUAAUUCUAGUCACUUGUUUAUUUAGCCGGAUUAUUUACAGAUUCUUGUAGCUUUGAUACCUUUUCUAAAUAGGAACUUGAAAAGAUUAAACUAAAUCUUAACUUUGACCCUAACAAGUUGCUCUGACUAAGUUGUUUUGUCUCAAUGUGGGGGACCAAAUGGAGGUGGAUUCAUAAUAGUGUCCUCAAACUCCAAUGGAACCAUUCAUCUCGAUGGCCUGUUUGAUAUCAUCUCAUAUGAUGUGGUCCCUAAAUUGCAGAAUUUACUAAUGGCAUCAGACUUUAAGGCAGUGAAACAAAAGUCAUCGAAACCGACGAGAAAUCGGUGAUAAUUUCGGUUGUUGGCCAUCGUCGAUACCGAUGGGGGGGAAAAAGUUUGUGUUAGGAGUGCUGCCGAUUUGUCACUGGAAUCGAAGGAAAUCGUCGGAAUUUUCAAAAAUCAGUGGAAAUUUUCUUCUGUUGGUGGAAAAAGCCGGUCAAGAACUGGUGUGUGUGUGUGUGUGUUUGUGUGUUGUGAUCGAAAGGGAAAGAGAGCUGAAGGGAGGAGAAAGGAAAAGUGGACAGCCAGCCCGAGAGGAGGGAAAGAGAGGUGAAGGGAGGAAGACACGGGAAUUUUUUUGGUUUUUUUGUUUUUUUUUGUUUUUUUGGUUGUUAAAAAUGUAGUUGUUUAUUAAUUAAGAGACCAGAGUAUAAAUGUCAGCUCGAAGGAUAUUACUUA